rnacentral:lncRNA from 1 species
UCUCUCUCGAUUUAUGAAAAUGCAUGGGAAAUGUGCAGGUAUGCAUAAUAUAUAGUCCAGUACUGGGUGAAGGGAAGAAAGAAAAAAUAAAUGAGGUUUCAUCAGCCUCCAGCCUAUAGUUUUCACAGUGUAUUAUGUCACAACGGUGCUGACAUCAAGGUGGGAAUUGCAUGCAGUGCUUGCAAAAUAUCACUAAAAAUGAUCAGAGAAGGAUGCUCUCAUCCUAGUAACCUACAUGCAAUCAUUACACCGCACAUGCAUGAAUCUUGAGACCAAAUUCAUUAUUCUUAUUGCACCCUCUGCUGACUGGUUCCUUGAACAGCUUUAAGCAACUGAUUUUUAACCAAGAUAUAGUGUGGAGCUGAGAGUUAACAUCAAGAGAAAUCCAACUGAUGAUCAUGUUCGUUGUGUUAGGUGAGGAUAGAGUGAGAAGCAAUGUGUUUAAAUUAUAAGAUUGGUAGGUUUGGGUUAAAUGUUAAAUGCAAGGUCCCUAUGAUUGUCGUGGAAGUUUCUUUCCUUGAAGGUUUUCAUAGCAAGGAUGAGGAACCAUUGCUUGGAGUAGUAUCUUAGGCACCAGGCUUCAAGGGGUUCAUUCGCAGAUGGGUCUGUAGCCUCCUGCUCCGAUACACACACCACCACCCCAUUUCAUAGAUCUAUGGGUCUAUGGGUCUUUAUACAUUCUGGAUAAAUUGAAAUGGUGGGCAGCCACUCUGUUUGUAAUCCUGACUUGGCACACCAAUGUUAAAUCUAAGGAGAUAUACAACAUGCACAUGCUGGACGUUGCCGACUGAGAAUGGUCUACCCUUUUCAUAACUUUUGGCAUUUUCCAUAUACUGACACAGCUCACUUUCGCAGUUUGGCUAUUCAGCCCCACCAGUUCCUGAAAUCCUACACAGGCAGCCAGCAUCACCAGGGGACUCUUCUCCCAGUGCAUAAAAUGCUGCCAUUUCCCCUCAGCUGAAAGGAGCAGCCCUUCACAAAACAACCUGGAUGACCUUACAACUGCUGUAAAUUUAUUAUCAGAAUACAUGACUCUUGCCUGAAUUAUACUGCAAAGUCUGUCUGCACAGCAGGGCAGGAAAGCACCAAAUGAGCAUCAUUUUGUGUUGUUGUUUUUAUUAUUGCUGCUGGAACAAAGUAACCGGGUUGACAGGAGAUGUGUUUGUUGGCAAGAAGGCCAUGACAUUUUGAAAACCGCAGGGACCAUCCUGCCUCACCAAACACCAAGCGUAUGCAAAGAAAACGCAUGCAGCCGUGGUAGAAAGGCACAUCUAUUGUCUUGCUGGCAGGCAGCACCAGAAUGGAGAGCAUCCCAGAAAUGACAUACAAAACUAUUUGAGAAAGUGCUUGCCAACGCUGAAAGAAAAGGAAGCAGCACAAUGGUAACUGAGGAAGAAGCAGCUGGGCUUUGCAGCACCAGCCUGCAUAUUUCAGUUUGUAUUAUCCGCACUGUUUCAUACAGUAAAAGAGGUGUUCCAAGGGGAAUCUUUUAUUUAUUCACCACACAAUCUAACGUUCUGCUUCCUUCAUCAGUUGAUCUGUACCAAGGUUGAUGAAUCCGUGGCCCUGCAGGUGUUACUGGGCUCCAACUCCCAGCAGCCCCAGCCAGCAUGACCAAUGGUCAGGGAAGAUGGGAGUUGGAGUCUAACAACAUCUGAAGAGCCAAGGGUUUUCCGUUCCUGAGCUAUAUGAAAUAUCUGUGU